GACGUUAACCAUUUUGUUGUGAACUUUGUUAUCGUGCGCACACGCGCUCAUUACCAAGUCAAGGAAGUUAUAAUGCGACGUCGAUGAUGGCUGACCACCAAGUGUUGAGAUUACUGGAGGAGUGUGGCGUUAGUGUCCCUAACGGACGUUUUCUGAGAUAAUGAGAUCGACAUGCAGGCAAUGAAGGUGCUGACCGAGGCAGAUAAUUUGCAACUUAUUCCCGAAAUCAUCCAUCGACACUCAACGGGAUAUCAUAAUGCCACAAUACCUGAAGGACAG